GAACUGUUACGUCAGUUGUAAACAGUUGGAUCCAAAUUUUGACAACUAUCAGCUGAUCGAGCUAAACUUCCCAGUUACAACAUUUUAUUGAAUAUUUUGUUACAUUUUGGACAGCAUUGAGAGAUUCCGAUCAUAGGAUUGGUGAACUGCAGUCUGCAAGCCCAGGAGAAUGUCACCUUCUGCAACGGUCCACUGCCUUGCGCAACCGACUUCAUAGUGGUACUGUUUGCCUGUACUAAUGAUGGUUGUCGGGAAAGUGAUGGCGCCCAAUUUUCCACAAAACCAGAUGAUUUUUACAAGGGAGAUAAUUCUGUCAUUAUUGGAGUGUCCGUUCUUGCAGUAAUAUUUUUCAUACUGUUGGUAAUACUUGCUGGAAUACUCUUUUGGUUUGUAACAUGUGCCAAGAUGAACUCUGAGUCGCCUAGUAAGAAUAACUACAGUGCUGCCAAACACGAGGCGGUGUACGAAGUAGUGGAUGACGCCAGUGGUCAGUCGAAACUCGGCGCAGACACAGCUCAGAAGAACAGAAAGAAAAUGCCGCCAAUUCCAAUGCAUCAGUACGAAAAGCUGGAUGGCCGGGCACCAAAGAUUCCUAAAAAAAACAUAACACGUAUAGCAUUUGAUUAGAUGUCACUUGUAUGAUGCAUGUAGGACAUUAAAUCGGGUUGCAUGGCAGUUAAGGGGAGAGGCUGGUAACUCUGCUGUAGAGCGCUCACCUGAGUUGCGAUGGGUAGCAGGGUCGAUUGCCAUUGGUGGAAUGUUUUUUAUGUCCCAACCAGUGCCCACGGCAGGCACAUAAAAGGUGCGGUUAGUACUGUCCUGCCUACGGGGAAAUUGACAUGUUUAUUUUUUAUUUUUUCAUUGGUGAUAGUCUUUGUAAUGAAAGCCCCCCCCCCCCCCCCACACCCCACUGCUACGGGUCUUAGGCCUACAGAGAAAUUAUACAUCAUAAACAGUGCAUUUGAAAACUCUUGCGUUUAUCCGCAUUUGUCAUGAUUAAUUUUACUUGUAAAAUGCAAAAAUUAACAUUUUAAAACAUGUUUUUAAAAAUGUGCGGGAACCAUAAGAAAUUCUGGUGCUUAGCGCCCUCCAUCUGUCAGUCCCCACGUGUUUACUUUCUUUCGCCUGCCUGGUUAUUGCCCAUUGUUUGAUAAUAAUUUACUGAUGGCCAUAACAAGUACAAAUUAUGAUUCGUGAAUCUCUCUCGUCAUUUGUGACAAGAAUAUAUUACUUUAUAACAUGCUACUUGAGCCUCGAAUCAGCAACGUAUGACACGUAAAGGACAUAAUUAUUGCUUAACAACAUUAAACACAUUUGUUUUUUGUAGAUGGUUAAUUGUACGGGCAGUGUUGCUGGAAGUACACAUUAUUGAUGGGAAUUCGCAAUAUAAUAUUUGGAUAACAUUAAAUUUAUUUUUGUGAAUUUUUAUCUUGGAAGUACAACUUCGAUUUCCUGCAAAAUAAUUAGCGUCGCUAAUGGAAUCGUUCGUUAUAGUCUGGGACGUAGCCCACUGGUAAAGCGUUCGCUUGGUGCGCGGUCGGUCUAGGAUCGAUCCCCUUCGGUGGACCCAUUGGGCUAUUUCUCAUUCCAUGCAUGGUAUAUCAAAUGCUGUGGUAUGUACUAUCAUGCCUGUUGGAUGGUGCAUAUAACAGAUCCCUUGCUACUCAUGGCACAAUGGCUUAGUAGAUACAGACAUACUACCAGUUGUCACAACUGGGACAUUCUGUUGUUUUCAGUAUAAUGGUAUUACAGUAAAGAGCACUUGCAUAUAAAUAUAUUUACUAAUAUUUAACUUGUUUUGAGUAGUAGAUGAUUUUGGGGGGGGGGGGGGGCGGACAACAAAACGAAACCCCCAACCUCCCAUCAAAUUCGGUAUAUUUCUGAUUAAAUGUUGAUAUAAAGAUGUUCGGAGAGGCGUUUUCAGGACAAUCUAGUGUUGUAUAUCAAUUGUGUAUUACCAUUUUAAAUACUUCAUUAAAAAGGGCACUUCAAACUGGCGUGGGAGAGUACUGUUAGGUCCCACGUUUACGGGGCUAUGAAAUACAAUUCAAACUUAAUUACUUUAUUUAAAUUCUAAAUACAUGUAGUAUAAAACGAAAGUUAUCUAGUAGGCUCUGUUAGGACGGCAAGAUGAACGAAUUAUACAGGCCCAUUGGAGAGUUUUUUAAAGGGGGAGGACACAAUAUAUGAGGCAUGUCAUACCAGUAUUUAUCACCUGUAAAUAAACUUCACGAUUUUGCCUUU